AUCGAACGCUGGCGGCAGGCCUAACACAUGCAAGUCGAACGAGUGGCGGACGGGUGAGUAAUGUAUGGGAAACUGCCUGAUGGAGGGGUCUAACUACUGGAAACGGUAGCUAAUACCGCAUACCAUCGGUUGUGCUCAUAUUGGAUUAGCUAGUCGGUGGGGUAAAGGCUCACCUAGGCGACGCUCCCCAGCUGGUCUGAGAGGAUGACCAGCCACACUGGAACUGAUACACGGUCCAGACUCCUACGGGAGGCAGAAGUGGGGAAUAUUGCACAAUGGACGCAAGUCUGAUGCAGCCAUGCCGCGUGUAUGAAGAAGGCCUUCGGGUUGUAAAGUACUUUCAUCGGGGAGGCGUUACCCGCAGAAGAAGCAACGGCUAACUCCGUGCCAGCAGCCGCGGUAAUAC
rnacentral:rRNA from 1 species